GACGUAGGGCGCGAGCGUUGUCCGGAUUUAUUGGGCGUAAAGAGCUCGUAGGUGGUUUGUCGCGUUGUUCGUGAAAACUCACAGCUUAACUGUGGGCGUGCGGGCGAUACGGGCAGACUGGAGUACUGCAGGGGAGACUGGAAUUCCUGGUGUAGCGGCGGAAUGCGCAGAUAUCAGGAGGAACACCGGUGGCGAAGGCGGGUCUCUGGGCAGUAACUGACGCUGAGGAGCGAAAGCGUGGGGAGCGAACAGG
rnacentral:rRNA from 1 species